AGCCCAGGCAAAUUGGACAAGUUGGUUACCCUCUUCCUGAGCCACUAAUGAUACAUAGAUCAUCGACCUAAAAAAUGAAGAACAAUGUUGAAGUUGCUAUCAUCUCAGCAGGGUAAGAUGCUUACUCUUGUUGCCACACAUACCACACUUCUCUAUUUGCUUUUUAAUUCUAGAGUCAAUCUUAACUUUUUUUGGUCUCUUUUGGGCCAAGGUUUCUUUUGUCCCUUGGUUUCUCUGCAAUUACUGAGCAUUCACUCUUUGUUCAACUCUGUAGAAAUGCCGUGGGGGAUGUCCUCCCCUCUUUCCCCAAUAUUUAAUUGGGUCCUACUCUGAAUAUGGUCCUGCAGGGAGGCAGGGUAGAGACAAAUGAAACAAAAUACUUUAACACGUGAAACAGCCCAAACUGGCAUGAGUGAGAACAGCUGGUGGAAGCUCUGGGCUCUGAAGGUGGACUUGAAUAUAUAGGCGGGGAUGGCUACAACAUCAGGAGGUGGUUUCUAAAGUCAUCGAAAUAGGCCAGCAAUUUCCCCCAAAUCACAAAGGCCUUGGGUGGUUUUCCACAUAUGUUCUCAGCAAUUUCUCUUGUAAAAGAACAUGUUAUUUACCUACAAAGGGACUUGUGGUACAAGGUUCUAUGCUGAGCCCUCAGGAGGGUCACAGGUAUUGAAUCUCUGAAGCCUAACAAUCAAGAAGCUAGAGCAGAGGGAUUACAGAACAUCGAAUUAUAAGAGAAGCUUUAAGAAAAAAACAGCAAUCAAGCAGAUUCCCACACUCUACUCCAAACUGUCAGUACUAAAAUCUUUAGAAGGAGGGCCAGCAAUCACAAGCUCCCUAACAUUUAGCAUGAUUCCAACCUACUGAAGAGGGAUCAUGUUGGUGACUCACCAGGGAGAAGCACUGCAGACUGAGAGGAAGAGCGUGAACUUUGGAAGCCAAGGUCAGGAGUGCCCUGGGAAUACCUGGGAAAACAGGUCAAACUAGUGUGCAUGUGUUUGUUUGGGGGAAACACCAAGAAGAUCUAGGCUAGGUCAUGGCAAAAACUAUUCUCUUUUUCCUGUAUACAAGCCUUAAAAAGGCUCUUUUAGCCAGUGACAAUUCUCUUAACCACGUUUAAACAACAGUACCCAUUCCUCAGUCAUGAAAAGUAAUGGAUUGUUUACAGUACCUGGGAAUCUCUGAGAAUGGAAAUAGAAAGGUGAUUAUGCAGCUUGUGUGACUAGCACAAGGAGAUGAGACUGAGAAAGCUGCAAAGUCCAUCCUUGUAGAAAAAAACAAGAGCUUCCUUAAACCAAGAUUGAUAAAGGAGCUCAAAUAAAAAGAUUAUAAAGUCAGUGCUCUGAGAAUAAGCAACCUUGGAACA